rnacentral:rRNA from 1 species
GACGAACGCUGGCGGCGUGCUUAACACAUGCAAGUCGAACGGAAAGGCCCUGCUUUUGUGGGGUGCUCGAGUGGCGAACGGGUGAGUAACACGUGAGUAUCCUGCCCUUGACUUUGGGAUAACUUCAGGAAACUGGGGCUAAUACCGGAUAGGAGCUCCUGCUGCAUGGUGGGGGUUGGAAAGUUUCGGCGGUUGGGGAUGGACUCGCGGCUUAUCAGCUGGUUGGUGGGGUAGUGGCUUACCAAGGGUUUGACGGGUAGCCGGCCUGAGAGGGUGACCGGCGACAUUGGGCCUGAGAUACGGCCCAGACUCCUACGGGAGGCAGCAGUGGGGAAUAUUGCACAAUGGGCGGAAGCCUGAUGCAGCAACGCCGCGUGCGGGAUGACGGCCUUCGGGUUGUAAACCGCUUUCGCCUGUGACGAAGCGUGAGUGACGGUAAUGGGUAAAGAAGCACCGGCUAACUACGUG